AUUAGCUAGUUGGUAGUGUAACGGACAACCAAGGCGAUGAUAGGUAGCCGGCCUGAGAGGGUGGACGGCCACAAGGGGACUGAGAUACGGCCCUUACUCUUACGGGAGGCAGCAGUGGGGAAUAUUGGACAAUGGAGGUAACUCUGAUCCAGCAAUUCUGUGUGCACGACGAAGGUCUUCGGAUUGUAAAGUGCUUUAAGUUGGGAAGAAAAAAAUGACGGUACCAACAGAAUAAGCGACGGCUAAAUACGUGCCAGCAGCCGCGGUAAUACGUAUGUCGCAAGCGUUAUCCGGAAUUAUUGGGCAUAAAGGGCAUCUAGGCGGGGUUUCAAGUCGACGGUGAAAACUACGUGGCUCAACCAUUAGCUUGCCGACGAAACUGAAAUUCUAGAGUAUUGGAAAGGUGGGCGGAACUACAUGAGUAGAGGUGACAUUCGUAGAUAUAUGUAGGAAUGCCGAUGACGAAGGUAGCUCACUGGACACAAACUGACGCUGAAGUGCGACAAGCUAGGGGAGCAAACAGGAUUAACUAUCCCUGGUAGUCCUACACUGUAAACUGAUGUUCACUGGGUGUGGCCGAGUAGCUCGUCUGUGCCGAAGCCAUA
rnacentral:rRNA from 2 species